ACGAACGCUGGCGGCGUGCUUCACACAUGCAAGUCGCACGCUGAAGCUCAGCUUUUGUUGGGUGGAUGAGUGGCGAACGGGUGAGUAACACGUGAGUAACCUGCCUCCUUCUUUGGGAUAACGCCCGGAAACGGGUGCUAAUACUGGAUAUUCACUGGUCUUCGCAUGGGGGUUGGUGGAAAGGGUUUUUCUGGUGGGGGAUGGGCUCGCGGCCUAUCAGCUUGUUGGUGGGGUGAUGGCCUACCAAGGCUUUGACGGGUAGCCGGCCUGAGAGGGUGACCGGUCACAUUGGGACUGAGAUACGGCCCAGACUCCUACGGGAGGCAGCAGUGGGGAAUAUUGCACAAUGGGCGCAAGCCUGAUGCAGCGACGCCGCGUGAGGGAUGGAGGCCUUCGGGUUGUGAACCUCUUUCGCUCAUGGUCAAGCCGCAACAAUGGUUGUGGUGAGGGUAGUGGGUAAAGAAGCGCCGGCUAACUACGUG
rnacentral:rRNA from 1 species